rnacentral:rRNA from 1 species
CAGUCGCCACGGGAAUACAGAGGGUGCGAGCGUUAAUCGGAUUUACUGGGCGUAAAGCGUGCGUAGGCGGCUAAUUGAGUCGGAUGUGAAAUCCCCGAGCUUAACUUGGGAAUUGCAUUCGAUACUGGUUAGCUAGAGUGUGGGAGAGGAUGGUAGAAUUCCAGGUGUAGCGGUGAAAUGCGUAGAGAUCUGGAGGAAUACCGAUGGCGAAGGCAGCCAUCUGGCCUAAUACUGACGCUGAGGUACGAAAGCAUGGGGAGCAAACAGGAUUAGAUACCCCGGUAGUCCCUGUCUUUAUACA